UCUGCCUGAAGCCAAGGGAGAAGAUGUGGCAGCUCCAGUGCAGACCUCAGGAUCCUCUGUGACAUCUCUGGAGAAUGGACAUGCUGAAAGUCAGAUGGAAGGGAGAGACCUGGACAGGCAUGCUGCUGCGUUGAAAGGCAGGUUUGGAGAAGAACUGUUAAAACCGUAUAAUAACCACGUGAAUACCUUGCUAGGAUGCCCUGCAGUCUUUGGAAGGACAGGGGCAAGUGAAGAAACCUGAAGCUGAAGCUCCAUUAGCUUUGUGGCGAGUCAACCCUGGUCAAGGUUGGAGGUGGGGCUCAGAAGAACUAAACCAACAGAUACUUCCAGCUGUACACACUCAUCCCAGCCAGCGACACCCACUCUUCAGGUCCAUGGUCCCAGGCCGCAGCAAAGUUCUGAGACUAAGGUGAGAAUAAGGUGAAAUUAUGCACAUUUUCUGUUUGUGUGUAGAGAAAGAGAGAAACAACUUCCUCAACCCGAGAUGAGGUUGUCUCUGGGCGACUAGCCAUCUGGUUCACCAAAACAAGAUUUUCUCUGAUUUUGCAUGUAAGCUGUUUUUGUUUGUCUUUUUUACCACUUUGGUCCUAAAGGGUUUAUUUUCUGUUACCCACUCCCCACAGAACCUCUGCAUUCUGGGAUGGAAUGUAGGGUGAUGGAAUCCUUAGAGGUGGGUGAGAGGAAUCCCACUGGGCCCCCCAGCAUGGCCUGGGGCCUUCCUGGGCUUGGCAGUGGUUAAGAGUGUGAGCACCAGAACCAAACAGCUGGGCUCUGACACUGACUCCCUCCAACCAUAGUCCCGGGACAAACUCACCCCUCCGUUCUUCCCAUUCUGUAUCAGUAGAGCAGAGGAAAAGUGAUGAGCAGCACGUGGGAGUUGUGGGAAUUGAGUCGUUGCCGCUCAAGUGCUUGUACAGGGCCUAGCACUUCGUAACUGCUCACUGCGGGAAAGGGAACAGGUUUAUUAAGGGUUUGAUGAACAGAACUGGAGGAAAUUGGGAGGGGGCAAGGGCCCUGUCCUUAUGCCAGGAACUCCUCCCUUCCUUUCUUCUCCAGGCCUCACUGGGAGCUGCACCCUCUGCUCCUCUGGCCUGGGAAAGAGCCAGAUGUCUUGUCUCCUGUUUCCCAUCAGAGAGGGUUUCCUCUGGCUCCAACGCCUUCCUUGCAGUGUAUGAGGCGGCUUUACCUGCCUCAAAGGUCAGCUAGCAAACACCUAGAGAGUAUUCUAGACAGACCCUGGCUGCAAUUCCCAGGCUUUCCCUGCUAAAUCUGGCAGAAUCUGCCCUGGGGUGUGCCAAAUGUCAAUCACAAGAAGGACAGGUCACACUGCUUCUUCCGAGAAGCCUCUCUAGAUUUCACCGCCCUGCCUUGAACUCUGCCCAUAUCCUGUGUCUCCUGUAACCCUGGGCUCAGCUUGUCCAAAAGCUGUUCCCUGCUAACCAUGGCUAGUGUGCUUCUCGAAUUGUGAGCCAAAAGCAAAUGUUCAAAAGCACAACCAGAGAUUUAUAUGGCAUAGGGGUGUAUUUUCCCAGAGAGCUAAAAAAAGAUUGUAAAAUCGUAAUUAUAUCCACAUUUUAUGCAUAAUUUUUGCAAUAUACUAACCAUAUUUUGAACAUGUUCAUUCAUUUACUUCUGCUACAAUUCAACAUGCAGUCACUCAACAGAUAUCUGUUGAGCACCUCCUAGGUACCAGACACCAUUCCAGGUAUUCAGAAUAUAUCCCUCGUGGGGCGCACAAUCUAAUAACAGAAGGAGAUGGAUAAUGAAAACUUCACAUCAUAAAUGUUAGAUGGUGAUAAGUGCUAUGGGGAGGAAACAAAGGGAGACAAAAGCAGAGCCCAAGAGAGAAGAUCCAGAAUGCAGGUGGAGGGUAGAGUGCAGGUUGCAAUUUAAAACAGGAGGAUCAGGGAAAGCCUCAUUGAUACACUAAGAUUUGAGCAAUGACUUGGAAAGGAGGUGAGGGAUGAGCCGCGUGGAAAUCAAGGAAAGGGCAUUCUGGGUACAGGGCCCUAAGGCGCGAACGUGCCUGGCAUGCAUCUGAACACAGCUUAAUUCUGGUGAGCAUCUGAUUGUGGCUUCUUUGGUCUUCCUUGGGCGUGCCUAAGGACUCCUAUCUUUGUCUCAUUUAUAUUAAGUUCAUGAGAUCUGUGCUUUCUACUCCAGCUUUCCACUCAUCUUUAUAAAACAGUAAGGACAAAAUUAAAUGAAAUGUGCAAAAUAACUGCACAAACUCUGUGCUGGGUGCCUGGUGACGCGGAACCGUCGGCUGGCACGCUGCGCCCCCACGUGGAAGCUUGCAAGGUUUGGCCCCCUAGGCACGGAAGUUCCUAUCUGGCCCCUGGAAAGCAGCCCAGGGGGACCAGGCUUAGUGCCCAAAUGUACGCGCUGUGCAAAAGAGAAACUUAUGAAGUCAAGGACCUCGUGGCGUGUUAGACGAGAGCCCGAGGGCAGGGGUGGGGGUGCAGUGCUGAUGGGGAUGUGGGCCACACCCGCUAGCUUUCCUCCCCGAGCCAGAGAAGAUGUUCCUGUCCUUGAACAAGAGAGCAGACAGUUCCCCCAGGCAGCUGUGUGCAUGGGGGGAGGAGGGGGUUCCGGGAGGGUGCUGUGCUGCAUGGCCCUCGACACAGAUGUGCACUCGCAUGCGCUUGGCAAAGGUGCUCCCCGCACUGGACGUGCAUUUGUUUUUCCUCCAGGACUGUGUUCUGGACAAGGACCUCCUGAGGCACCCAUGCUGCAGUUCCCAGAGGCUUAAGGACGGCUGCGGGACGUGUGGGCGUCUGGGUUGGGUCACCUCUCCAAGGAUGCCUUCUCUGACCACCCAGCGUAGUUCCCCAGGCACUCCGUCACUGUCCUGCUGUAACCCCUUCCUGGCGAUCCUCUUCGCCUGAUAUUUUUGUGCUCACUGAUGGAUGAGCUCUGCUCAUGAAAAUGCAAAGUCCCUUAAGAGCAGAGUCCGUGUCUGUUCUUUUGGCUGCACUGUUACCUGCACAGAGAAGAGUGCCCAACCGAGAUUGUGCAUUCAAUACGUAUAUUUUAUUAGUUGAAAUAAAUGAAUGAUGUUUAAGACCUGGCUUAUGCAUUUUCUUUAAUGAAGAGAUGGAGAAAACAUAGCAUGCUGGAGCAGAAGGGAGAUUGAGGAGAAGAAUCUGGACCAGCAAAGAAAAAGAAUUCCAAUUUUCCUUCCCUCAAGGACAACCUGCCCAUAGAUAAGCGCCUUGAGACCAAAGCCCAUUAUGGUUGCUGCCAGGCAGCUUGGAGACACAGGAAUGGCCUCCCAACAUCCCUGACCUCGGUUUUUGAUACCUUUGUAAAUGAUAUCCCUAAUCUGUCUGCUCCUGAAAUCCCUACCUCGUUUUUAAAAUGUUUUCCUAAAACCUAAUGAGUUUGACUUGCUCCUUUGCCUUUGGAAAGGUUGUCAUUUUACAUUUUAAAAGUCAAAAAGAAACGCUUCCUAUCCCUCUGGAUCCUCCUGGAGCCAGCAGUAGCUCUGUGGCCUUGAGCAAGUCACUUCCCUUCGCUGGGGCUCAGUUUUCUGUAAAGGGAGGAGGAGAUGGUGCUGGCUGUUGUCCAGGUCCAUGCCAGCUCUAAAAGGCUGUGAGCUUCUGAUGCCCACCCCCCAGUGACACCCACAAAGGAACUGCCUUCCCCUCCAAUGGGACAGCGUAUGGCCAAGCAUUCCUGGGAAGGGCAGGAAGAAGAGGGCCUCCUUCCUAGCGCCCAGGCCCUUGUCUGCUUGUCCCCUUGUCAUCCUUCCCCUGGACUAUGCCACUACAAUGCAUCAUGAGGACCUUAGAUAUCAAGAGUGGAAACGCAGGGUUGUUCCCCAGAGUAAACAGACUACAGAAAUGGCCCAGUUCUCCACUCCUGCAUGCUAGUCCUUUGCCUUUUGAGUUCACACUCGUCUCAGCAAGAGCUGGAGCCUAUCCCCUAACACCUGAAAUUUGGAUUGGCUUUCUGACUGCUUUAGCCAAAAGAAUGCACUAAAAGUAUCAAGGUGUAGGUGUGGAGCCCAGGUCUCAAGAGGCCUUGCCCAACCCUUCUCUCUUUCCUGGACCCCUGUAGCUGCCAUGAAGGAACACCGAGGCUAGCCUGUGGGAGGAUGAGACACAUGGAGCAGUGCCAGCUGACCCAGCCAACACCGUUCUAGAUUAACAACCAUAUUAGCCAACUGAGCCCCAGACAUAUGAAUGAGUCCCAGCCAAGCCCAGCCAAGAUCUGCGGGCCUGGCUCAGAUCAGCAGAAGUGUGCAGCUGACCCACAGACUCCUGAGUCACGAUCACCGAUUGUUUCAGGAUGGUUUGUUACACAGCAAUGGCUAAUUGACAAUACACCCUGGAUCUACCCCCAGGACAGCCCACAUCUCCCUUAGUUUGCCUUCUUGAGCAUCCUUGCACGUGGUCUGCCCUUUCUGCCUCUGUACUGCCUAGUUUAUGUCUUAAAAAUAUCACUUCCCUCCUGUAAGUCCGGCCCUGUGUAUAGAAGCAUACAGGCAAUCGCUUACAUGAGAGAAUUUUAUUUUUCAGGGUCUCUCUAAAACUGGGUGCCAUAAUGUGUCAGCUACUUGGGCCAGCCAUGGUAUCUGAAACCGUGGCCCAAAGACUUGGUCUUCUGAAUUACAUCACACAUAGUACAUGUCAUAUAGAGGAGCACACAUCCUACCUCCUGUCUCAGUGGCAUGAUAGGUGAAGUGGAAAUCGGGUGCAGGAAUGACCUUUAUGGGGCUGGGAAGGAGGCUUUGUGGGAAUGCAGACCUGACAGAGUGUUCCAGGAGAGGCCUCCGUGAGGUCACCGGAACUAAGCAGGGAUUGGAAGCAGAGCCCCCAGGCACACCCACACUCAUAGUUUUGCUAAGGAUUGACCCUGUUUUCUUGUGCAAGUAUUUUAUUUUUCUCUAAUAAAUUAACAUUUAUUAGAAGUCUAUUGUAAAUCAAGCAGGCAUCAGCUAAGCCCAGGAGAUGACAAAGAUAAAUAAUGAAUCCCUGCCCUGAAGGAACUUACUAGUUCAUAAUCCUAAAGGUGCAAAAUACCGCUACAAGUAUAUGCCAAUAAAUCAUUAGAUUCGAAUUCAGUUCUUUCUUCUAAAAGUCAGGAGGUAAAACCAGAUUAAUCAAUGAUCAACAAUUAGAAAAAUCAAUUAGGGUGAUGUUUAUAUUACUUAUGUAUUUAUACUUCUUCAAGUUUUACUCAAAUUACAUUUCUCUUUGCAAGUACGAUUAAUAUUCAAAGCCAAACAUGAUUUCCAGUCUUGUCCCCAACUGCAUCCUUCUGUCUUACUCACCUCUAUACAUGAUAUACCUUCAUUCACCUAGUUCUAUACAUAUCUUAUCCAUAGCAAAUCCUGUAGCAUUACCCCCACAACAUACACAGAAUCCCGCCAAUUCGCACCACCUCCACCUCCACCAUCCCAGUGCAAGCCAUCAGCACCUCUCACCUAUUCUUUUGCAAAAAAAUUGGUAACUGGUCUUUUUGCUUCCAUCCUUCUCUCCCACCUUCUAUUCUAACCAGCAGGCAGAAAGAUCCUGUUCAAACAUAAGUCAGAUUAGGUUAAUCCUUAGAUCAUAAACCCUCCGCUAUCUUCCCAUCACACUUAACAUAAAAUCAAAGGCCCCAGAUGACUUGGCCCUGACCACCUCUCUAACCCUGCUCUAGUCACAUGGGCAGUAUUGCUUUUCUUUACAUUCACCAGACAUUCCUACCUUAGUGCCUUUGCACUGGUGCCUGUUACCUUCCUGACUCAGACCUCUUCAUGGACCAUUUUUUUAUGGCAUUUCAAGCUUUGCUCAUGUUUCACCUCUUUAGAAAGAACUUCCUUGACCACCAGAGCUAAAAUAGCCACCAUCACCACUACCCCACAACAUCCUUCACUUUCUAGCCCUUUGCCCUGCUCUAGUUUUCUUCAUAGCACUUACCACUGCCCUGUAUUAUACCAUGUAUUUGUUUAUUUACUUGUUCGUUGCCAUGAUGAGAUCCCUAAAGACAGGGGUCUUGGCUGGUUGGUGUGCUACCAUAUGUUAAGUAUUUGAACAGUACCUUGCUUUUGUCAUCUACGUAAUAAAUGUUUGUGGAAUGAAUCCCUAAGUGUUCACAUUCAUUCUGCUAAUGUUUGUAAAUAUCUUAUUUUGUAAAAUAAGUGAAUGGGCAAGUCUAUCAUAUAGCUCAAACAAUAUCACUCUUGGAAUUCAGGAAAUGAACAUCAAAUCCCAUUGCUUCUCUAAGAAAAAGAAAACAAUUUGGACCACUCACUUCCCUUCUCUGAGCAUUUGUUUUUCCUUCUUCAAAGUAAGUAAAACCAUCCCUCUCCCCUCCCAACCGAAAAGGUAAGUACUAUAGUUACUUCCAUUUUAUCCAUGAGGAAACUGAGGCCCAGAAAAGGCCAAGUCAGUCUUUGCUGUCUCAGGAGGAGGAUUUAGAAGGUCAAUUCUGCCCAGGAAUUGAGGCCAGAGAAAAUCACUCUGUGGAUAAGUUUUGAUGCAAAAUCCGAGCAGACUGUGUUCUCACUUCUUAUAACAGAGGGAAGCGCCCCUCUGCCCAGCCGGGCCCCAUCCCCUGGAAGGGCAGGGUGGGACUUGCUUCCGCCUGUUCUGUGGACAGUCUCUGUGCAUGUGGGAUUACUAGAAGAACUUUCAGUCUCCAGGAGCUCCAAGGCCUGCACUUCCCAGAGCCUUCUCAUCAGGCACAAAUAAACAGUUGUUAAUGUCUUCCUGGGCUUAUGUGCUUGAGGCUGUCACAACCAGGAGCUCUGAAACUGGCACAGGCCGGGGUGCAGACACCCAAGGCCUCCAGGCUGACAGCUGCAUGGAGUCAUUUUCAAUUAGAGAAUGACUUGGAAAAGAAAAAAAAUCCAGCAUCAAAGCCUAUCCUGAAGCCUGCCUGCCCAAGGCCUGAGGACUCCCAGGUGGAGCCAGGACCCUGUCACUCUUCUGCUUGCAAGGAAAGCAGCCCACACUAUGCCCAGCCGGGAAGGGGGCGGGGGUGGCUUGUAGAAUCCUGCCCCUGGUGCAGGCUCUGUCUGCUUCUAGACAGGAGAAGAAAGCAAAGGUGCCUUUGUAGGCCAGCUGUCUUGGGGAGAGAGGCUCACUUUCUGCAAGCCCUGGUGCUCCCCAGAGAGGCCACAGCCCAGAGGAGUGAGCUAGAAAUUUAGAAUUAUACAGAAUUGAAUGCGAGCACUGGCCUUGCUACAUGCUGGCAGUAUGACCUUAAGGCACAGACAUAGGGAUGGUGCAGUGCCUUAGGGCCAGAAACAACAGGCACCAUUAACCAGGGCCGGGACUAGGAUGAGACAAAGGAGGCGCUUGCUUCGGGUGUACAAUUUAAGGGAACUUCAAAAAACUCAGCAAUCAGAUAAAUUAUAUUUUAAGGCAAUAUUUUUUUAAGUUAAAAUUUAUGUUAAAAAAAUCCAUGAUGAAGAAAAUAUCAAAAUUUUAAAUAAAAACAGGCUCCAACAAUGCCGUGCCAAGCCAUACUGGAGCCUGAGGCAAAAGGAAAAACUGUGCUUCCCUAUAUAUGUGUAUUUGUGCAUUUUUAAUGGUUACUAUUUUUCCAGAACAUUAAAUGAGUUUUAAAAAUAUUGAGAAGUGUCUAAAACUCACAACAUUAUUUUAAAUUUAAAUAUUUUAUUUAUAUCAAAACCAGAAUGUAUUAUAAUUUUACUUUCCUGGCUUAAAAUGGAAGCAAACUCAUCAAUACUAUUUUCAAAACCUGCUUACUUACUUACGCCAUUUUCAGUUGAAAGAAUUGCCAUGUUCAACAAUUUCUACUGACCAAGUGACUACCUUAAAUAAUUGUUAAUUAACUUUAGCUCACUAAAACUUCUUUCCCUGGACAGCACUGUAACUAGUAUUGUUUAAAAAAAGAAUUCUCAAGGCCAUGUCCAAGUUUAGAUAAGACUACACUAAGCAAAAUUCCUGAAUCUGUUUUAGAGAUUCAAAUCUAAUGCUGAUUUUGUAUUGUAAUUUAUUGAUAUUACAUGUUAAAACUAUUUCAGAUGAAAUUUCAAUAGGACUUAAAUUGUCAGAAUAUUUAAGAGUCCAAUCAAUGACUGAUUUUUGUAAAUAAGAUCUAUUCAUGAAAACUUUUCUGCAGUUUUCUAAUUUUUCUAGACUUAAAAAUUCAAAAUCUGAAGAUAUUUAAUUUUUGCAUGUCUAUUUCAAAUGUGAACUUCAGACAUUUAAAUUUUUGAUUUCUAUUUGAUCUAAGCUGGUUUCAUUGUAAUUGAUACUCUUACCCAUGAAUCAUAUAUUUCCAGUUUCCUUACUUUUUUAAAAUUUAUUUCCAAAUUUAGGAAGCAUGUUUAUACCUCAUGCUAAAGUUUUACUUUCAUCCAGCAUGUCAAGUUAUUUAUUCUCAUUUGUUAUAACUCACAACUUUCACUUGAAAAAAGUUGAUCAAAGUAGAUUUUGAAAGUAUUGUUGAUGAAUUUGCUUCCAUUAAAGUGAGGAAAAUAAAAUUAUAACACAUUCGGUUUGAGAUAAAAUGAAAUAUCUAAGCUUAAAAUAAUGCUGUGAGUUUUGAGACAUCUACUUCCCAGAUUUUCAAUAUUUGUUCAACUAGUUCUGGGGGAAAAAACAACCAUUAUACAAACAUAUAUGCAGGGGCACUGAGUUUUCCUGUGACCUCAGGCUCCAACAUGGGCCCGCAGCACACUGUGGUUCCCAGCGGGAGGAGAGAGGUGUUUACUGGAAUUGCAGACACAGCAGGGAGUGUGGAGGGGGCUCAUUGGCUGAGACCUCUGCAGGGAGAGAAAGAGCUGGGGGAGCAUCCUGACCUCGCUUUCCUCCCUCCCUCACAUCUCCUGCUGGCAUUCUGCAUGGGCUGGACCAAUUGCAUGCCAGCGGGCACUGGGGCCUGUUGGUGUGGUCCAAAUGGGUCAGCCGGCAGCACCGAGCAGAUGGAGAAGGGUGGAAAGUAGAUCUGGGGCAGCAAACGGAAAUUCUAUGGGACACUCUUGGUCUUUGUGGAUCGACUCAAAAACAGAAGGUGAUAAUAACUACCUUGCAAAGUUUUCCUAAGAGGGAAAUAGGGCAAUAUAGGUAAAUUGCCUCAAAUAGUUUGGCAUCUCCUAAACCAGGGCUUGUAUUACAGCUGAACAGGAGUAAGCAACCACUGCUGGUGGUAGAGGGAGAGUGAGGGGGAAGGUGGGAUGGGACACCUGAUGUGGUAUCCCUUGCUCCUCAAUCAGCCUGAGGCCACAUGGCACCACCUGGGCAAGACUGACCCCAGCAGGACCAGCUCUGCCUUCAGUGAAACAGAGUGGUGGGAUGGAAGGCACUUUCAUUUCCUGAGUGAGCCUCAGUUUCCUAAGAGUCUGAUAGUGAUAGAAUGAUGCCUAUCUUGCAGGAUUUUGAGGACUAAGAGAGAUAAUGUACGUUAAAGUACUUUGUAAACUAUGAAACAUGUGAAUGUUGUACUUGGGGUGGGAGGGCUCGUGCUCAUUUCAUCUUCAAAACAGAAAACCACACUAAAGCUGUGGGGACAUACUGUCUUCUUUACUAUGAAAUCAGAGGCAGAAAAUAUUUUCCUUACUUUAGGAGGCCAUGUGUAUUGUCCUUGUUUGACAGACUACUGAGUGUGCAGAAGUAAGGAAUUAAGAGAUUCUAAUAUCAACUCUGCCCCUAUUUCGCUGAGAUACUUUAAAUCUGGGUGCUCCUUUUGUCUCUCAACUUCUCCGGAUUGAAAACAUGGACUGUGAUAUUCAGUAGAGUGCUUUGUGCCUUGCAGAAGAUAAAGAGAGUCGUCUUGACAGCUUAAGACUUUGUCGGCCUGUGUGACCUGGUACAGAAGGAACGUGCAUUCCACGGCAGAGUUCAGAACUAUGGAAGAAUGCAGACACAUCUAGAAAGUUUCAAAAGUUGGAAUGGAACAUGGAAUUAUUUUCCAUGGCCUCUUCUCCUGGAGGCAAAAUUAGCUGGAAAGAUCGCAUACUUAGACCCCAGUGGCAGAGCCCAGCACCAAGCCCCCUGGGCGGAAUCAGAGGAAAGAUGAAACUGCAUGGCCACCCACCGUUUACAGAUGAAAGAUGGGACUUACAAUUGCUACAUGAUCUCAGAGCCCAGCCCUGAUGGCCACAAGCACACCUGUGCACAGGAGUAAUCUGACCAGCUGAGGGCAGAUGCUUUGCAGGACAACAGAAGUGGGAUCAUGGGGACCUCUCUGUGGGUUCACCCGGUCCUGUUGUGCUUGACCCCGGCCCUGAGUCAGUCACCACUCCCCAUGGCCUUCAUGCCUUACCUGGACAGUGAGAGGAUCAGAUGAGCGAAGAGGUUCCACAGUCUGAGUGCUCGGGAGAAUGACCUGGGAGUCUUUUAAAAAUUCAGUUUCCUUGGCUUCUUAUCCUGAAAAUUCAGUCAGUAGACAAGGAGCACAACCCAGGAAUCUGUAUUUGUCACAAUCAGCUGUAGUGAUUUUGAUGAGCCCAAGUAUUCUCUAGGGUCCUACCAGCCUGGCACUCGGGCACCCUCUUGCUCCAUGGGUGAAAGCUCGAGAGAUAAUAGAGAGAUAAUAGGCUGGAACAGAAUUUCAGUGGAAGGGUGGGGAGGGAGGCAGAGCUUCUCAGGCACAGGGAUGUGCAGCUGGGAGAGGUGCAAUGACCGAACCUUUUUUACCUAUUCUCUGAGUCCUUGUUGGUUUUUAUUGCUAACGUCAUAUGAGAUUGUUACAUUGUCUUGGCUGUGCCUGUGUGUCACAUAUUAUGCUUUCUCACCUAACCCCAGUAAAAUCCCACCUUCAUUGAUCAAAACAGGUUGUUAUCAUAUGGACGCUCAAAAUAUUUUUAUGCACCUUCUCAGUCUGCAGAGAAUUCCACUGCAAACAGCUUAUAAGGUCCAUGUGUUUGGCUGUAGGUUCUUCCUCAAACUGGCUGCUUCGUAGACAAGCAGGUGCCUCGGGGACUGUGUCUUCACAUAAGUCAUGGUCUGUUUUCCAUGGGGAGGCUGCAAGAGCUAGGGGGACAGAGGUGACAAUGCAGAAGAUGGAACAAAGUAACAGCACAAUGGGAGCAUGCAGAGGCCCGGGGAUAGGUCUGGGUGUUAGGAGGACAACCUGGCCCCACUGGGUAAGUCAGGAGGCUGCGGUCUUAAGGGGAUGGGACUGAGACUGCAGAGACUGGCCCUGCAGAGGUAUCGGGAGGCCUGAGGCACACAUUAGUUGGGCUCCAUCCUGAAGACAGGUUGGGGGACAGGGCUUCCAGGCAGCAGGCAAUGAUAAGUGGCAUUGCCCCAGCCCAUGACUGGACACCAAGAUCUAGUCCCGCACAUAAGGGCUGCUGUACCCCAGGCUCUAUGUCUGGGCUUUCUGGAGAGGGAGGCCAGUGAGAGGAGCUCCCCUUAGCCAGUCCUACCUCAUGAGAUGACUGUGCUGCGCUGUUUUAUCUUUUACAGCACUCUGAAGGACUGCGUUCCCCAUUGCAUGAGGGAAGAAACUGAGGGUGGAGAGGCUCCAGGACAGAGCAGGAUGGUGCUGGUGUUGAACUCUGAGACGACGUGACUACAAUGCCUGUGCCCUUUGCUGGGAGGCUAAUCAGAAUCCAGGAACGAGAGGCUGGGCAGAAACCAGGCCAGGGUGCAUCCCCCACGGCAGGCUGGAGUUGCUGAUGGGAGGAGAGGACUCCAUGGCAGGUGAGAAAAUACCACCCAGGACCUGACUGAGACCCCAUCCGGCAUCAGUCCACGUGAACCCAGUGUCUGCAGGGAAAUUUUACAGUCAAAACCUGUGCAGUCUGCUAUGAACCAAGGAAUAAGGAGGCUGCUGGAAAAGCCAUCAUUUUGCUGGGCUAUUGAUGUUGGUGAGAGUUGAUCACAGUUUGAAAGGUGCAGAAGGCCAUGCCUGGCAAAGAGACAGAUGGGAGACCUCUCUGGUUGGGGCGAGAAUGCUGUGUGGGAUGGCUCAGGGGUGGAGGUAGCGAGCCUGUGCUUGAGCGGGGCCAACCGAGAGUCAAAUCCCGGGCUGCCGCGUGUCGAGUGCGGUGGCCAUGGGUCCAUCCAUGACUUCUCUGAGUCCCUAGUCCCCUACCCGUAAAAACGGAAGCAAUAACACAGACUUCUUAGGUUGUUUUUUUGAGACCUGAGAUAGACCACAUGUGUAAGGCAUUCAGCACAGUGCUUGACUUGUGUAGGGCUCCCAAAGCUGAGCUAUAAUUGGGUAAUUGCUGAUGGUGCUCAGAUUCCAAGGUGAAAGGAGAAGAGACACAGGGAUGCUGAGGGGGAGUUGAGGAGAGGUUGCUGCACAGUCCAAGAGGACCAUAAACAACAUCACAGAGGAGGCACAUGAGGGCUGCCUCACACUCAGCAGAAAGGCCAGAGUGAGGGCGUGCAGCUGGCUCGCAGAGGUGGGCUUUCAAAUCCCAGAGGAAUGGGCUGACUGCACUGCCCAGGCUGUGGUUGCUCCACACUGAGGACUUGGGAUACCCACCUGCCUCAGCUUCUUGGAUGAUCUCCAGAAUGCCAGGCAGCCAGACGUGAGGUCAUGCAUUUACUGUAGGGAGCUGUGCAGCUGGGUGAGGGGAGGGGGCUACCAGGCAGAGGCUCUGCCUGCCUCAAAGUGCUCCAGAGGGGCUGGGUGGGCCCCAAAGUGUUCAGAGGGACUUGAUCAGAGGCCCUCAAGCAAAGCAUGCCUUAGGUGUAGGGUCAGGGGAAAGGGCCCAGCCUCUCUGCCCUCCCAUCUCCAGCCCUGCUUCCAUCUCAUGGGCCUGGGCCACGUGGCCCUUCUAAAUGAAGCUCCUGAGCUAGGUGGAUGUUGGUGCAGACACAACCGACCGGUCUGCCAUGCAUGUGUGAGAACACAGGCUGCUCCAGCGGCCUUGCAGACACCCACCCAGCACCUCAGGCAAUGGAAACCCCCCAGGAAAUGGCCUUGUGUGGGAAGGAGGGCACGCCCCCAACCCUGGACACAACCUCCAGGGUUGAGAGGAGAGGCGGGACCAGGGAAAGGCUGCCCCAGCAGAUUAGGCUUUGAGACAAGGUAAAUGAAGUCAGGGUCACAGAAGGGCUUCUCACCCAACCCUCUCACUUCACAAGUGGGGAAACCGGCCCAGAGAGGGCAAGUAAACAAACAGCGUAAGGAGUUUGUGGUUGUGGAAGGUUGUGAAAUGGCCCCUCAAAAGAUAUUCCCAUUCUAAUACCUGGAACUUGUCAGUGUUACCUUACAUGAGGGGAAAACAGGAGUUUUUGGCAAUGUGAGCAGAUGAAGAAUCUUGUGAUGGGAAGAUUAUCCUGCGGUAUCUAGGUGGGCUGUAAAUACAGUCACAUGCAUCGUUAUAAUCAGACGACAAAGAGAGAUCUGAAAACACACAGAGGAGGCCCCAGUGUGGAGACCAGUAGAGGGAGGCUUGAGAACACGGGCCUUGAACAUCGGAGUUGGUGUGGCCAUAGCCACCGGACCCUGGAAGAGGCGCGUAACAGAUUCUCCCCGCCAGCCCCUGAGUGAGUGCAGCUCUGCCAACUCUUGAUGUUGGCCCAGGGAAACUGUUUUCAGACUUCUGGCCCCCACAACUGCGAGAGAAUAAAUUACGUUGUUUUAAGCUACUAAGGUUUUAGUAAUUUAUUACGGCAGCCACAGGAAACUAAUACAGUGUUUUCCCUGGGCCCGGCCCGGCCUUGGAACUGUGUCGUCCUAUCGGUACCCUGGACCCAUAAGAGGGAGGGAUGGCAGGGGCAGAGAAGGCAGGGACUCCAUUUUCCAUCACAAGCUGUCUCCACCAGCCUCGCUGAGGGAUGGUGAUGGAGAUGUACCAUGUCCUCACUUCCAUUGCCUGAGGUGCUGGGUGUGAUGUGGAGAAGACAUAAGAAACUAACGGCAAACGUGCUCAUUCUGUCCUGCGUGUGCAGCGAGACAGCCGGCAAGCCCAGGAUGCGGGCUGGGCCCUAAACCCCAGCUUCCGGCUGUUAACUGGGCCUUUCGUGUUGACGAAACACAGUUGAGGGUAUUUACAGUGGAUGUGGCUACUGUGUGGCACAUAGUAUUGAGAGCAUCACAUUCAGCAUCUCGCUGUGGCCCGAAGGGGAGCUCCUGGGAUUGAUUAGGAAAGAGCCAUUUGGAGAAGGCACUGUUAAAACUGUUUGGUUUUUCCUGCCCGCCGGCUGAGAAGGUCCUGGAGGAGUCCUGCUUCUGCUGACAGGGUAGGGUCCUGGGCCAGAGAACUGGCUAGAACUCAAGACAAUAAGGCAGGAGUCAGUCAGCCUCAGGAUAUCUGAAAGCAUGGUGAUGUCAGUUCAGAAGACAGGAAAUCAAACCUGCCUCAGUGGCCUGCCAGCUGUGUGGCCAUGGGCAAGGUGCUCCGCCUCCUGGAGGUGGGCACAGUGAGAUGGAAAAGUGGACGUGAAAGGGCUUUUGUCAGCUGUGCAGGUCCAGACCGCCAUGUGAGCGUGCGGGUUUUCCUCCCCAGCUUCUACUCCACCCUGGUCAGGUCUGCCCAUGGAGGGUGAGAGAGCUAGGACAGGAAGGUACUCACGGCUGUCCCUCUCAUGACUGACAAAUGGUGCCAAUGUUAUCCUAGGGUGCACACACACAUUUUCAAGGAAUUGGGGUGGGGGGGAUGGCCUUGUCCCUUGAGAACUAUCAGUCUAGCAGGGGACACUAAACACAUAUGCAGGAAAUGACCUUAUUAGAAAGCAACACACUGAAAAGUGCCAAGUGACACAGCUCGGACUGAACAUGGAAAUGCUCGAAGCCCACACAACUGGAGUGCAGGAGCAGGCUAGACCGAGUCAGAGGACACUCGACACUCUCCUGAAGUCUGACCCCGUGAACGUCAAGGCCCAGGCCCAGGCCUGUGUGUGAGCCAGGGCAGGGGAGUCGGAUGUGGUGUCUGGGAGAAGACUGUCUUAACCAGCUUAGGGCGAAAAGCAGGAAGGGCAUCUCUCUUCUAGUUACUAGAGUGGAAAGGAAAAGGGAAGUUCUGGGUUGGUGACCCUGUGGUCCUCUGAGCAGGCGAGAGCCCAGCACUAAAAUACGACAGUCAUUCUGCUGGGAGGACCCGGCUGAACUUAGCGCUGGGUAGGUGGGGUAGAGUAGGCUAGGGCCUUGGCAAGGAGGAGCCAUGCUGCCCUGGAGCACAUCUCUGGUGCGGCAGAGCCCAGCAUCAGCUCUGACCACUGUGGACAGAGGCCCAUCCCCAGAUGUGAGUCCUUGAUCAACCCCGGGGUUCCGCCUUCUAGGGCUCACAUAGCCAAGGGGAGCCCCAGCCUCACAGAAGCCACAGCAACUAGGCAGAAACCACAGGACUGGCCCAUAUGGCCAGGCGGGCUCAGAGCCGUGGCCUGCUGUUGUUGGGGACAAGGGCGUGAACAUUAAAGAUAGAAGUCACAGUAACUCAUACUCCUCAGAUUGCGGUAAACUGUGUUUGUGCAUAAGGCUGUUACGGUUUUAUUCUUUUCCUCUUUGUCUCCUUCAUUCUUGGUCACCAGUUCUCUUACCCAGCCUUGAUGUGUUUGGUAUAAAGCUUUGAAUGGGAACAUACUUUAAAAAUACAUUUUAAAUGGUGUGUGUGUGUGUGUGUGUGAGAGAGAGAGAGAGAGACAGAGAGAGAUCUACAUAAAUGACAUUGUGCUAUGGACUUUCUGGGUUUUUUUCCUUUUUCAAAAAACUUACCUUAUGUUUUAAAGACUUGCUUGUGAUGCUGUAUGACCCUCUAAGUCUCAGUUUUGACUGCAGCUGCCUGGUGUUCUGUGGUCCACAUGCCUCCUUUUGUCUUACCAUACCCGUGGGGAUAUGUACCUCAUCUGCACCCAAUUUCUUGUUCGCAUCCCCUGGUGACCAGGGCUUCAGUCCUCAGGUCAAAGCAUCCUUAGUUGAGCUCAACUUUCCCAGGCUUAUCUCCAGGACACCUGCACCAGCCUAUAUUCUGCCAGCAGGGCAUGAAGCUUUCUGUUUCCCUGGUCCUUACCAACUGCCAACAAUCUGACAGAUGCAAAGUUUGGGUUGUUGUGACAGUUACCAGUGUGGGUUCAAGUCUUCACUCCAUCACUCAGCAGCUAUGUGACCACAUAAAAGCAGAUAAGCCACAUCUAUAUGCCUCAGUGUUCGCAUCUAUAAAAUGGAGAUACUAAUAUAAUUACCAUAGGGGGUGGUCGUGAGGAUCUAACAAAUUAAUGAAAAGUAUUCAGUAAUUACUACUACUAGUAGUACAGGUAGUACUUCCUAUUGUUACUACUAACAUUUUCAGUUUUAAUGAGGUUUACCACCCCUUCAUACACCUGUUAGCCAUUGGGUUUUCUCUACGGUGAAUUGCCUAGUCAUACCUUUUCUCAUUAUUCCAUUGGGUUGCCAUGUUUUUGCUGCUGAUUUGCAGGUGUUUGUUGAACAUUCUAGACACUAAUCCCUUGCUUAUUUUUGGUUCUUGCAAACAUCUCUCAAUCCAUUCCUGGUUUGUUAACUUUGACAGCGCUAACUUUUGUUGAACAAAAAUUCUGAUAAUGUUAAAUCUGUCUUUUUUUAUUUCCUUGUGCUUUGUAUUUUUGGACUAUUGUUUAAUAAAUCUCUUUCCAUGACAAAGUUACAAAUA